rnacentral:rRNA from 1 species
CAGCAGCCACGGUAAUACGAAGGGUGCAAGCGUUACUCGGAAUUACUGGGCGUAAAGCGUGCGUAGGUGGUGGUUUAAGUCCGUUGUGAAAGCCCUGGGCUCAACCUGGGAAUUGCAGUGGAUACUGGGUCACUAGAGUGUGGUAGAGGAUAGUGGAAUUUCCGGUGUAGCAGUGAAAUGCGUAGAGAUCGGAAGGAACAUCUGUGGCGAAGGCGACUAUCUGGGCCAACACUGACACUGAGGCACGAAAGCGUGGGGAGCAAACAGGAUUAGAUACCCGUGUAGUCCCUGUCUCUUAUAC